GCAGGCCGGUGCGGGCCAGUGCAGGCCAGGCCUGGCCGGGGGAAGGCAGGUGGCCGGGUCCGAGGACCGCGUCGCACAGCAGCUUCCAGGACCUGGAGAGAAAUCGAGAUGAAGAAGGGAAGUCACUUGCUUCAUGGCCAGGGAAGGGCUCCAGCAAGACAUGGGCUCCUGAAAGUGACAGUGUGUGAAGGCCCAGAGAGGCACAGGACCUGGAAAAGUGGGCAAGUUUUGAGUUCAACCUGAGGCCUCAAGGAUGUGUGCAACCCAUGGUACUUGAAUUUACUUAUUGACUGUUUUUUUGGAAAUCCUUAUUUCCCAAAACUCGUGGAAGGAGCUGACUUCUGGCAGGAAAUGUGGAACUGGCAGCGUGUCGUGCAAGCAUCUGCAAUCCCAGUCCUGAGCUGGACUUCUCAGAGAGGCUGGGCAUUAUUUAUGGAGAUGUCGGAGUGACAGGGGAACUUCUGGCCAGGAACUGCCGGUGGUGUCACAUCCUUAACCUGGCUGACAUCGGAACACCCUGGGGGGAGCAUUUCUCCAGGAAAGGAUGGUGGGUCAGGAGCCCGCAUGGUGUCUUUUCAAAGCAAUAAUAAAGAUAUCAGAAGGG